UACGGGGGGAGCAAGCGUUGUUCGGAUUUACUGGGCGUAAAGGGCGCGUAGGCGGUCAGCACAAGUCAGUUGUGAAAUCUCCGAGCCUAACUCGGAAACUGCGUCGGAUACUAUUCGGCUAGAGGAAUGGAGGGGAGACUGGAAUUCUCGGUGUAGCAGUGAAAUGCGUAGAUAUCGAGAGGAACACCAGUGGCGAAGGCGAGUCUCUGGACAUUUCCUGACGCUGAGGCACGAAAGCCAGGGGAGCAAACGGG
rnacentral:rRNA from 1 species